GUAGGUGGCAAGCGUUGUCCGGAAUUAUUGGGCGUAAAGCGCGCGCAGGCGGUCCUUUAAGUCUGAUGUGAAAGCCCACGGCUCAACCGUGGAGGGUCAUUGGAAACUGGGGGACUUGAGUACAGAAGAGGAAAGCGGAAUUCCAAGUGUAGCGGUGAAAUGCGUAGAGAUUUGGAGGAACACCAGUGGCGAAGGCGGCUUUCUGGUCUGUAACUGACGCUGAGGCGCGAAAGCGUGGGGAGCAAACAGGGAUUAGAUACCCUGGUAGUCCACGCCGUAAACGGUGAGUGCUAAGUGUUAGGGGUUUCCCGCCCCCUUAGUGCUGCAGCUAACGCAUUAAGCACUCCGCCUGGGGAGUACGGCCGCAAGGCUG
rnacentral:rRNA from 1 species